CCUACGGGAGGCAGCAGUGGGGAAUAUUGCACAAUGGGGGAAACCCUGAUGCAGCGACGCCGCGUGAGUGAAGAAGUAAUUCGGUAUGUAAAGCUCUAUCAGCAGGGAAGAAAAUGACGGUACCUGUGUAAGAAGCCCCGGCUAUCUACGUGCCAGCAGCCGCGGUAAUCCGUAGGUGGCAAGCGUGAUCCGGAUUUACUGGGGGUAAAGGGAGCGUAGACGGGAGUGCAAGUCUGGUGUGAAAGGCGGGGGCGCAACCCCCGGACUGCACUGGAAACUGUACGGCUGGAGUGCAGGAGAGGUAAGUGGAAUUCCUAGUGUAGCGGUGAAAUGCGGAGAUAUUAGGAGGAACACCAGUGGCGAAGGCGGCUUACUGGACUGUAACUGACGUUGAGGCUCGAAAGCGUGGGGAGCAAACAGGAUUAGAUACCCUUGUAGUC
rnacentral:rRNA from 1 species